rnacentral:pre_miRNA from 1 species
GAGACACCCCUCCGGGGCAAGACUUGCUUCAAUGGGGCUUUGGUGCUCACUGAGUCUGCCCGCUGAGGGUGUCCUU